AGGGUUCGUGUUGGGGAGCACCUGGAGACCGUUUUCCUGCUGAGCGGGAACGACCCCGGCAUCCACCUGUACCGGGAGGUGAGAGCCAAAAUCCCCCAAAAUACCCCAAAAACCCAAAAAUUCACCCCAAAAUACCCCAAAUUCACACCAAAUCCACCUGUACCGGGAGGUGAGAGCCAAAAUCCCCCAAAUUCACCCCAAAAAUCCACAAAUUCACCCCAAAAACCCCAAAUUCACUCCAAAAAUCCAAAAAUUCACCCCAAAAAACCCCAAAAAUCCACAAAUUCACCCUAAAAUACCCCAAAAUCACCCCAAAAAUCAACAAAUUCACCCCAAAAUACCCCAAAAAUCCACAAAUUCACCCCAAAAAACCCCAAAAAUCCACAAAUUCACCUGUACCGGGAGGUGAGAGCCAAAAUCCCCCAAAUCACCCCAAAAACCCCAAAUUCACCCCAAAAUCCCCCAAAUUCACCCCAAAACCCCACAAAUUCACCCCAAAAAUACAAAAAUUCACCCCAAAAAUCUACAAAUUCACCCCAAAAACCCCAAAUUCACCCCAAAUCCACCUGUACCAGGAGGUGAGAGCCAAAAUCCCCCAAAUUCACCCCAAAAACCCCAAAUUCACCCCAAAAAUCCACAAAUUCACCCCGGCAUCCACCUGUACCGGGAGGUGAGAGCCAAAAUCCCCCAAAAUCCCCCAAAUUCACCCCAAAAAUACAAAAAUUCACCCCAAAUUCACCCCAAAUCCACCUGUACCGGGAGGUGAGAGCCAAAAUACCCCAAAUUCACCCCAAAAAUCUAAAAAUUCACCCCAAAAACCCACAAAUUCACCCCAAAAAUACAAAAAUUCACCCCGGAAUCCACCUGUACCGGGAGGUGAGAGCCAAAAUCCCCCAAAUUCACCCCAAAAUACCCCAAAUUCACCCCAAAUUCACCCCAAAUUCACCCAAAAACCCCCAAAUUUACCCCAAAUUCACCCCAAAUUCACCCCAAAUCCACCUGUACCGGGAGGUGAGAGCCAAAAUACCCCAAAAAACCCCAAAAACCCCAAAUUCACCCCAAAAACCCCCAAAUUCACACCAAAUUCACCUGUACCGGGAGGUGAGAGCCAAAAUCCCCCAAAUUCACCCCAAAAAUCCAAAAAUUCACCCCAAAAAUCCACAAAUUCACCCCAAAAAUCCACAAAUUCACACCAAAUCCACCUGUACCGGGAGGUGAGAGCCAAAAUACCCCAAAAAACCCCAAAUUCACCCCAAAAAUACAAAAAUUCACCCCAAAAUACCCCAAAAACCCACAAAUUCACCCCAAAAUACCCCAAAUUCAUCCCAAAAAUCCACAAAUUCACCCCAAAAUACCCCGGCAUCCACCUGUACCGGGAGGUGAGAGCCAAAAUCCCCCAAAUUCACCCCAAAAAUCCACAAAUUCACCCCAAAAACCCCAAAUUCACACCAAAUCCACCUGUACCGGGAGGUGAGAGCCAAAAUCCCCCAAAUUCACCCCAAAAUCCCCCAAAUUCACCCCAAAAACCCCAAAUUCACCCCAAAUUCACCCCAAAUCCACCUGUACCGGGAGGUGAGAGCCAAAAUCCCCCAAAUUCACCCCAAAAAUCCACAAAUUCACCCCAAAAAUCCACAAAUUCACCCCAAAAAUCUACAAAUUCACCCCAAAAAAACCCAAAUUCACCCCAAAAUACCCCAAAUUCACCCCAAAAAUCCACAAAUUCACCCCAAAAAACCCCAAAUUCACCCCAAAAUACCCCAAAUUCACCCCAAAAACCCCAAAUUCACCCCAAAAAUACAAAAAUUCACCCCAAAAUACCCCAAAAACCCACAAAUUCACCCCAAAAUACCCCAAAUUCACCCCAAAAAUCCACAAAUUCACCCCAAAAACCCCAAAUUCACUCCAAAAAUCCAAAAAUUCACCCCAAAAAACCCCAAAUUCACCCCAAAUUCACCCCAAAUUCACCCCAAAAAUCCACAGAUUCACCCCAAAAUACCCCAAAUUCACCCCAAAAAUCAACAAAUUCACCCCAAAUUCACCCCAAAAACCCCAAAAAUCAACAAAUUCACCCCAAAAACCCCAAAUUCACCCCAAAUUCACCCCAAAUUCACCCCAAAAAUCAACAGAUUCACCCCAAAAACCCCAAAUUCACCCCAAAAAUCUACAAAUUCACCCCAAAUUCACCCCAAAUUCACCUGUACCGGGAGGUGAGAGCCAAAAUCCCCCAAAUUCACCCCAAAAACCCCCAAAAAUCAACAAAUUCACCCCAAAAUCCUGGAUUCCCAGGUGGAAUUCCCGGAUUUCCCAUU
rnacentral:lncRNA from 1 species